AUUGAACGCUGGCGGCAGGCUUAAAACAUGCAAGUCGAACGAGUGGCGGAAGGGUGAGUAAUGUCAGGGAAACUGCCCGAUGGAGGGGGAUAACUACUGGAAACGGUAGCUAAUACCGCAUACCAUCGGAUGGGACCAGAUGGGAUUAGCUUGUAGGUGAGGUAACGGCUCACCUAGGAGACGAUCCCUAGCCGGUCUGAGAGGAUGACCAGCCAGACUGGAACUGAGACACGUGCCAGACUCCGACGUGAGGCAGCAGUGGGGAAUAUUGCGCAAUGGGCGCAAGCCUGAUGCAGCCAUGCCGCGUGUAUGAAGAAGGCCUUCGGGUUGUAAAGUACUUUCAGCGGGGAGGCGUUACCCGCAGAAGAAGCACCGGCUAACUCCGUGCCAGCAGCCGCGGUAAUAC
rnacentral:rRNA from 1 species